ACCUCGGUGGUGUAGUGGUAGCACGCGUUCACAAUAUAGAUGAAAUGCGGGUUCGACUCCCGCCUGGGGUC